AGCAAACUAACGCAAGAACAGAAAACUAAAUACUGCCUAUUCUCAAUUACAAGUGGAAGAUCAAUGGCCCACCCUCUUCCCGGAUCAACAGGGUCCAAGAGCAGGAAAGUGGAAUUGAAUACCUGGACUAAGACCAAAGAAUGCCGCAGUGCGAGUUGGGGGGGAUAAAUUCCAGGUUUUGAGCUGUUGCUCUAGUCGGUCUGCGCCUGCAGAUGGCAGCGCUCCUUCAUCGUUGCAGCGAUGUGGAUUGAAAUGCACUGGAGCGUCAAUGGAAGGUGAAUUUAUGAAGUGAAAUCAAACUUCAGAAAUCUAUUUUCAGUUGAUUCCACUGGACGCAACUCAAGCAACAGUGUUAAAUGACGAUGGGGAAUACAC
rnacentral:lncRNA from 1 species